GUAAACAAACAUGCACAAAUGUGCAAAGGCUGAAAUUUUGACGACGAGAUUAAUGGGCUAACUAUACUUUGUAUAAAAUCAUAGAAAAGAAAUGGCGUCAGCUUUAUCAACGUCGUGCGACGCAGAAUUAAAUGAAUUGGUCACGUGUGGCGUCUGCUUGUGCGAAUUCGACACAGACAAUAGAAAACCAAAAUUUCUUCCAUGCUCACACACAAUCUGCCUGUCGUGUUUAAAGGAAAUCAACAGGAAUUACAUGGUUGCAUGUCCCUUCUGUCGGAACAUAUCUACCCAAAUACAUGUUGCCAAUCUUGCCAACAAUUCUUAUGCUCUCCAAAUGCUUAAACUAAAAGAGAAGAAGCAAGAAAACACAAUAAAAUCUUCCCCGUUGAAGGGACCUAGUUGGUGCUUCACAUGUGGAACGGUGACGAAAGAUACCUGCACAACACCUGAUCACUCCCUGGUCAAUUUGACAGCUGACACAAUCAAGAACAUGGAAGCCUUUAUUAGUCUCAAAGAAGAUUUGCAGACAAUGAAGAACGAAGGAGCAAACAAAUUGGCCAUGGCCAUUCACAAGCGACAAGAAAUCAAAGAACAUUUGGAUUUCUUAACGAAAUCCUUCAAAAGCACAAUGGAAGAAAUUGAUGAGCUCCAAGAUGAAAAUAAUCUCAUCUUGACUCAAUUGGUCUCUACUUUGGAAGGAAACGGACCGAAAUCACUUCCGGCAACUGGAGACACUAAACAAGAGAAUGAUGAUUUUUUCUUGUCAGGCCUAGAAUCUUUAAUGAACGAUUCGUUGAGCCCGGAUGACACGGCGGACGCACUUAAAGUCAAGUUGAACAAAUCCAUCGAAAUGUUUGAAGAACAGUUCCAGGAAGCCACAGCCAAGGCUUCCGAGUACGAGUUCCAGAACAAUACAAAAAUCAAAAUCAUUUUACUGGAUGAAAUGGAUCAACCAAUUCCGACGUUUCCGUUGCUCGAAGGUGGAUUCUGUUUGGCCAAAAAGAAAAAGUUGAACGCCAGCGUCCGGCAAGAUUUGAAUUUACUAUCACAUCUCGUCUUUUCGCUGUUGAGAAAACAAAAGAUUAGCACAAAAGCGGAGGCUUGCGCUGUUCCCUCCGCUUCUCAGGGCACUGAUCCUGUUGUAUUUGCCAAAUCCGCACUGGACAACACUAAAAGCGGAGUGAAUAAAGCCUUGUCUUUUUUCCUCGAUUCUGAAUCAUUUGCCUUUCCAUUCGACUCUCCUCUUACAUCCGGCCCUUCCGGUGAACUCAAUUCCGCGAUCCCGCUGCCGCUUUCCAAUAAAUUUAUCCUCGGCCAAUCCAUUUUCAUCUUCCGGCUGUUCCAGUCGGGUGUCUUGAAGGGCGAAAUCCACAUACAACCUGUUAUCACCUUUCAUCCGGAUUUCAUGAACAUUUUGGGCAUCAACUGUUUCAAAACUCCCAAACACUUUUGCAAUUCCAUCGAAAAGGGAAAGGGAAGCGCUAGUUUGCAACUGACGAUUCGAUUGGCUGCUGAGAAUAAUCGUGGUUAACCCAUAACUUCCCUUUUUCGACUUAUAAUCUUCAUUCCCGUAUUCACCGAGUUCUAUCAAAACUAAAUUAACAUGAGGAAGUAUGCCGGUUUUGAUUAGUGAACAUUUCAGAUUUGGAACCCCACCAAACAUCCUUUCCAUUGGCUUUCAGAACUCGAUCGAAUAUUUGAGAUUGAGACCUAAUCUACCACAUUACAGGAACUUAAUUGAUGACUGUAAAUUAAGAAUUCCGGAUUCCUAACUGAAACAUAUAAAAGCUAUUCAACGUGAGGUGGUGGAUAGGUAUUCCAUGAUCAUGGCUCGCCAGUGGACUACCGCUUUCGUCGUCCUUUUUGGACUGUUGGCUCUGGCAUCUUCCAGUCCAUUAUAUGAAGAAUACGAAUCAUUCGCCAAC